UGGAACAUUUGCGAGGGUCAUUGGCCAAUGUCUUCUACACACGUCCUCUGCUGGUGUCAGGCUGUUGGCAUGUGUGACCAGCUCUCCCCAGGACUCUGCUCCCUGCCCACGUCUCACCACACGUACCUGGGCGGCAGGACUGCCGUCAGCCCAGACACGGGGUCGUUUGGAUGUGCUGUGAAUACUUCCAAUGACAGCUCUCAACCGACGACAAACAGGGCAGCAGAACCCCCUGGGGUAGACUCACAUCUGCGGCUGAAGGUCACUUUCACUUGAGUGCACCCCUGUGAAA